rnacentral:rRNA from 1 species
UACGUAUGGAGCAAGCGUUAUCCGGAUUUACUGGGCGUAAAGGGAGCGUAGACGGCGAUGCAAGUCUGAAGUGAAAGGCGGGGGCUCAACCCCUGGACUGCUUUGGAAACUGUAUGGCUGGAGUGCAGGAGGGGUAAGCGGAAUUCCUAGUGUAGCGGUGAAAUGCGUAGAUAUUAGGAGGAACACCAGUGGCGAAGGCGGCUUACUGGACUGUAACUGACACUGAGGCUCGAAAGCGUGGGGAGCAAACAGG